rnacentral:rRNA from 1 species
ACAUCCAGCGAACUUGGCAGAGAUGCCUUGGUGCCUUCGGGAACGCUGAGACAGGUGCUGCAUGGCUGUCGUCAGCUCGUGUUGUGAAAUGUUGGGUUAAGUCCCGNAACGAGCGCAACCCUUAUCCUUUGUUGCCAGCGAUUCGGUCGGGAACUCAAAGGAGACUGCCGGUGAUAAACCGGAGGAAGGUGGGGAUGACGUCAAGUCAUCAUGGCCCUUACGAGUAGGGCUACACACGUGCUACAAUGGCGCAUACAAAGAGAAGCGACCUCGCGAGAGCAAGCGGACCUCAUAAAGUGCGUCGUAGUCCGGAUCGGAGUCUGCAACUCGACUCCGUGAAGUCGGAAUCGCUAGUAAUCGUGGAUCAGAAUGCCACGGUGAAUACGUUCCCGGGCCUUGUUCACACCGCCCGUCACACCAUGGGAGUGGGUUGCAAAAGAAGUAGGUAGCUUAACCCUCGGGAGGGCGCUUACCACUUUGUGAUUCAUGACUGGGGUGAAGUCGUAACAAGGUAAGCGUAGCGAG